rnacentral:rRNA from 1 species
AACUAUAACGGUCCUAAGGUAGCGAAAUUCCUUGUCAGGUAAGUUCUGACCCGCAUGAAAGGCGUAAUGAUUUGGGCACUGUCUCAACAGCCCGCCCGGCGAAAUUGUAGUACCGGUGAAGAUGCCGGUUACCCGCGACAAGACGGAAAGACCCCAUGGAGCUUUACUGUAGCCUGAUAUUGGGUUUCGGUGUUGCAUGCACAGGAUAGAUGGGACGCUGGGAAAGAAGCGCUUUGGCGUUUCUGGAGCGGACGUUGGGAUACCAUCCUUGCGACAUUGGAAUUCUAACCUGCGCCUCUGAAUCGAGGCGGGGGACAUUGUCAGGUGGGCAGUUUGACUGGGGCGGUCGCCUCCUAAAAAGUAGCGGAGGCGUUCAAAGGUUCGUUCGAUCUGGACGGAAACCAGAUGAUUGAGUGCAAACGCAUAAACGAGCCUGACUGCGAGACUGACGGGUCGAGCAGAGACGAAAGUCGGAGUUAGUGAUCCGGUGGUAUGUGAGUGGAAAUGCCAUCGCUCAACGGAUAAAAGUUACCCUGGGGAUAACAGGCUGAUCUCCCCCAAGAGUCCACAUCGACGGGGAGGUUUGGCACCUCGAUGUCGGCUCAUCGCAUCCUGGGGCUGAAUUCGGUCCCAAGGGUUUGGCUGUUCGCCAAUUAAAGCGGUACGCGAGCUGGGUUCAGAACGUCGUGAGACAGUUCGGUCCCUAUCUGUCGUGGGCGCAGGAUAUUUGAGAGGAGCUGUCCCUAGUACGAGAGGACCGGGAUGGACGCACCUCUGGUGCACCAGUUGUCACGCCAGUGGCACAGCUGGGCAGCUAUGUGCGGAUCGGAUAAACGCUGAAAGCAUCUAAGCGUGAAGCCGGCCUUAAGAUAAGAUAUCCCACUGAGUCAAUCAGGUAAGACCCCUUGAAGACUACAAGGUUGAUAGGCACACAGUGUAAGCGGAGUGAUCCGUUCAGCUAGCGUGUACUAAUAGGUCGAGGGCUUGACCC